ensembl:lncRNA
ACUGUGCAUAAGGAGACUGUCACUGUUGCCAGUUCCAUGUUUUUAUGACAAAUCUUGUGAUAUCUUGUUUUCUUAAAAAAAAAAACAGGUCUUGUAUUUCAUCAGAAUCUCUGUUUUCAUUAUAAAAAUAAUAAUUAAAAAAAAAGUUUCCAGCUUGACAUUGGCAUCAAAUUAGAGGAAAAAAAAGAAAAUGUUCGCAGCUUCACCAUGAUGGCAGAAAAAACAAAUGCAUACAAGAACACUCAAAUACAGUAUUUUGCUUUAAAAGCAACAAAAAAAAAUCCCAAACCACCAAGCAAAUGAAAGACCUGUGGUUUUGAAGGACAGACUCUUAAUGUCUGUGUUGUGGUCUUUUACUGUAACUGUAAAAGAGACUUUUGUAAUACUUUUAUAAAGUCUCCCCAUCUAUUUCCAGUGCAGAUAAGCUUCUUGCAAAAUCCUUAUUUGAAAAGAAAAGAUGUUGAAUCCUUUGGAAACAUUGGUCACUUUAUAAAACAAAGAGCUGCUAAUAGUUCCUGAACAGAUGCCUUUUUCUCUAGAUUUAAUUCUUGAUCUGAGUCUGGAUGAUCCAAAGCAGAAGGACUGGAGGCUGGCAGUAAAUCUGCUACAAUCUUGAGCUCCUGUGGGAGAAAUAUUAGUCGUGAUUCUUCCCUCCUGCUGGAUGUAUGCUGGAGUUAUUCCUGCUUUGUAUCAGGGGCAGGAUGGUUCCUCAGUGGACCACGUUCCCGAGAUUGACUGACAGGACUGCAUCAUUCACCUUCACCCACACAGACAAUCCGCAAGAUCGCUUGCGCAUCUGACAGCGUUCUGUGUACAGUCACUUUCGCUGUUUCUCCUGCAUAUUCAGACAGCUUCCUGUUUGGCUUAUAUGGCUUUUCACAUGCAACAGGAAGAGAAAACUAUUCCUAAGAAGAUAUGAUUGCAAGGUACCCAUGCUGGGCAGUUUGGGAGCAGGUGGAAGACCACAGAAAUUAUUUUGGACCUUUUUUAAUUGACUUCAUUUCAGGCUGACGCAUGUCGUUUUUGGCUUAUUAACACAAUUUACAUCCUGCCCUAAACUAAAGGGAAAGUGGACAAAAUGGAGUGGUUUGUGGCGUGGACAGCAGUGAAAUCCAACUGCAAAUAAGAUCAGCUUUUUGUCCUCCUAUAUUCCCUGUUUUCAGUUUGUCUUUUUGCCCAUUUUCCUUUAUUCCUUUGUUUUCUAGGGAAGCUCCAGAACUGUAGAGCAUAAGUCAAAGAGUAGCAAGAUUGCAUGUUCUUUGCAACCAGCCAGUGUGCACUGUAUUGAUCAACAUACUGGUUUAUUUUGCAGCACUCUCCGCAAGCUAAAACUAAACCUGAAGUCAUCGUUCUACCCUUUUCAUUUUAGUGUCAUUCUUUCUGUUUCUUGUUUAAAGUGUUGUUUUCUACUUAAAACAGUCCAUGGGAGGUAUUUGCCGUUUUAAGCUUUCUUUUUUAAGCUUUUAAAGAGAUGUCUAUAAUAGCCCAUCUUUUCCCAAAAAGAUUGUAAAGAAAAACCAAGUGAGAUUUUCCUCGUAAGUCCAGACAUUUCCAUUCAGAAUUACAUUUUUUUCCCAUAGAUAUGUUUAAGUGAUCUGUGCAGUUUGUGUUUGUUUUAUUUGUGUGCAGAAUUAAGUGCUGUGUGCAGUGACUUCUGGGCUUUUUAGAACUCCCAAACAGGAGGCAAAUGGGAGAGGAAUAUUUUGGAAAAAGAACCAAAUUGUCGUCUGUGUUCAGCUCUUUGUGUUUUCCAGCUGGUUUUACUUCUAACCUUUAGCAUUCCUCAUGGGGUACUGAUGC